CGGGCAUCCCAGGGUGCGUGCGGUGCAGGGUGUGCAAGAGGAUGCGAGGUUGGAGGAGGAGUUCAUAGUUUUCUACUUCAAGUCUAUCCUCUCUUGUCUUCAGAAAAGAGGAUUUCGGCUUUCUGUUUAACUGGAUACUCAUUAAGUCUCAGCCAGCAGCAGCAGGAUGCCUUCCCCAUCCAAGGAGGAAGGGCUCCAGCCGGGAAAAGGACAGAGCUUCUAGAGAGAAGCCUGGAGGCGGUCAGAGAUGGACCUCAGCAGGGGCUGCACUUUUCAAAGCUGCUUUUCCCUUUUGGAGGAGAAAGAGGAGGAUCAGAGGGCUGAAGUUCCCUCUGAGCACUUCUAACACCUACUUUGGACUUUAUCCCUACCAAAUAAGACUAUAAUGUGCAGUUGGCAUGCCCAUAUUAGUUAAUUCAAUUGGAAAAGAGGUAAAAAAAAAAAAAAAAAAAGACCUACUUACUCACUCACAAGAUUUAGAAACAAAGCCCAGGACUGUGGCAGCAUAGGGACCAAGUGAUCAUAACUGCCAUCGUCUUCCUUUCAAAUGAAAUGUAAUCAUAUUUUUGCUCACACAUGCUCAGGGAAUUUCUGGCAAGAUAUCCAAUUAACUACUGUCAACGAUUACCUCUGGGGAGGGGUCCUAGGCCAAUGACAGGCUGAAGGGAAUUUUAUCUUUUUCCUAAUACCCUCUGUUCUGUUAGAGCUUUUAAUAAAAUCUGUAUGUCAUUUUUAUUUUUAAAAACUAACAAUUCAGCUUUUAAGCUAUUGAAUGUUCUAAUUUUUAAAAUGAACUACUUUGUUACUUAACAUAAAGAUAAGCGAGAUCAACAGAAAGGUGUAAAAGAAAUAUUUUUUUCUAGAGUUUCUGCUCCCCUAUUCCAAGACUCAAAGGCCAGACGUGUUCAUUCAGAUAGAAAGAUGGACAAUGUGAUGGUGGCUGCUUAGAAACAGGAGAAUUUGAAUUUGAACACAGUGUUACAAACCUGGAUGCAUUUUAUUAGAUUUCUUCCUUUUCUUUUCCUGUUGCUGGUUUUUCCUAAUUUUCUUUUGAUUAGCAGUAUGGCUUUCCUACAACAAAGAGGAGUUUCAGGCCUUGCUUUCCAGAAUCCCAUUGUUUCCCCCAGUUCCUGAGGCAGCCAUCUCACAGGACUGCAUGAAUGGUUUUGGUGAGAUUUCUUCUCUCUGUUUCAAUUUCUGCACGUAAAUUGAAAACUAAAAAGCACCUGGGUUAGACUGAACAAAGGCUUGGAAUAGAUGCAUCCCCUUCCAUUUGUAGCCCUGAAUAAAAGUCAUGGCUUAAAAGAAGGAAUGGGAGAGAAGAGGGAGAGAAGGAGAGAAGAGAAACAAAAUGAAUGGGCAUAGUCUCAUUUUACAAUUAAAUAAGGACACUUUAAUGGCUAUAAGGAUAUUCUCUAGAUGAUAGAGCAACACCACAAGUAUUUCUUGAUUUCUACAGUUAAAGUGCUGCUUGGAGGGAAUCUAUUUCUUUUGCAAAAUUAUAUAAGAGUUUGUAGGCCCAUGAGGAGUAUCCCAUUUAAAGGACUCUAAUUAGGAAUAUUUUUGUAAAACUCAUUUCAUUGAUUAUCUCCUUUCUUUUACAUCCCUUCAGCCUUUUACAUUCCAUUAGUUCUUCCUUCUUAUCAAACAGACUUAUUUAUGACAUAUUCAUCCUGAAAAUAAGAAAGAAAACCCUCUCAUGUUUCCUCUAGCUACUGCCCUCUCUCCUUCCCUUCACAGCUAAGUCCCUUCAAAAGGAUGGUCUCCCCUAGGUCACCAACCUAUUUUGGAAAAGAUUUGGGAAUAUGGAAAAGAAAUAAGAAGACAAGUGUAGAGGCAUGAAGGCCCUUGUCAUUUUUUUGCCCAAAUGAUCUUCCUGCCUCUACACCUGUCCUCUUAACUUCUUUUCUAUAUUCCCAAACAAGUCUAAAAUGCAAAUGUGAUUAUGUCACUUGUUCAUUUAAAAAUCUCUAUUCCCUGUUGCUUGUGGGACAAAUCCAAAUUCCUCAGCAGGACACACUACACUAGGUACUAGAAAAUAUACUGGGUACUCAUAGCAGACUGUGCUCUGUCAUUCACAAACAUCCAUACCAGCCACGUUGUUUGUACUGUGCAUUUAUAAAUAUAAUGGAUUCCCAGAGCAUGUUGGCUGUUCUCAGGCCUUUGUACCUUUGCAUAAGCUCUUCCCUUUUCCUGAAAUAUUCUUCCUCCUUUCAACUGCAUUUUCUUUAAGACCUAGCUCAAUGUCAUGUUGACCAGAAAGCUUUUGCUGAACUACCAGUGUGGGUGAGGUAUUCUCCUGUGACGUAUCCUCUCAUGUAGUACUCACUGCAUGAGGUAUGCUCCUGUAUACUACAGGCACUCAAUAAGUGUUUAUUAAACGAAUUAACUAAUGAA